AACACGUUUAGAUAGGUGAGUGUACAGAUUAACACGUUUAGAUAGGUGAGUGCACAGAUUAACACGUUUAGAUAGGUGAGUGUACAGAUUAACACGUUUAGAUAGGUGAGUGUACAGAUUAACACGUUUAGAUAGGUGAGUGUACAGAUUAACACGUUUAGAUAGGUGAGUGUACAGAUUAACACGUUUAGAUAGGUGAGUGUACAGAUUAGCACGUUUAGAUAGGUGAGUGUACAGAUUAACACGUUUAGAUAGGUGAGUGUACAGAUUAGCACGUUUAGAUAGGUGAGUGUACAGAUUAACACGUUUAGAUAGGUGAGUGUACAGAUUAACACGUUUAGAUAGGUGAGUGUACAGAUUAACACGUUUAGAUAGGUGAGUGUACAGAUUAGCACGUUU
ensembl:lncRNA